rnacentral:rRNA from 1 species
UACGGAGGGGGCUAGCGUUGUUCGGAAUUACUGGGCGUAAAGCGCACGUAGGCGGCGAUCUAAGUCAGAGGUGAAAGCCCGGGGCUCAACCCCGGAACUGCCUUUGAGACUGGAUUGCUAGAAUCUUGGAGAGGCGAGUGGAAUUCCGAGUGUAGAGGUGAAAUUCGUAGAUAUUCGCAAGAACACCAGUGGCGAAGGCGGCUCACUGGCCCGGUACUGACGCUGAGGUGCGAAAGCGUGGGGAGCAAACAGG